CGCUCCUGCUUUUCCCUGCGGACACUCUUGAAGGAACCGCAGUUCUUGGCUGGCACCUCUCAGGUACCUGGCGGAGUGACCCAGGACAGCGAUAAAACACAUUAUUCUGUGGUAAAUGAUACUCAGAUGUUCUGCAGCAGCAGGAAAUUCAAUGUGUGGGUACCCAUUAAAGGGUACAAGUGAAUUCACAGUGCAAGUGAAUGCAUCCAACAGCCAGGGCAGCUUGAUAAGUGAUGCUGUAACAAUUGUCAGGCCUCCAGGAGCCAAACCUGUGUGGAUUUGCAGUUGAUCAGGAAGGGUCAGCCAGGACUGUGCAUGGACUUAAAUGCUGGAACUGCCAGUUAAAGCCACUGCUGCAUAAUAAGAAGCUGAAACCAAGAGAACAAAUGAUCUUCAGAGUGGGAAGGCAAAAGAAAGCAGAGAAGUUUUUCAAGAUGUUCAAGUUCAGAAUAAAGGCAUUAUGGAGUAUAUAAAUUUUAAAUACACUGCUUUUUGCCUCAAGGCUUAAAGCUUUUUUUUUCCAGAUGAACUGAAAUCUUGUCUGCAACUGUCUUUGUUACAUCAAAGGACUGCCUGGAAAACUAAAAGAGAUGGAAGAAGUAUAAAAGGGCAUAUUUUAAAAUAAUUAGUGACAAAUUUCAUACCGCAGAGGUAGAAGUAAAUUUUUUUGAGUUUUAUGUUUUUCGAAAAGGAAUAAAUGUGCUCUAUUUGUCUUGUCCUAAACUGCUUUGGUGGAAGUUGUAAAAAAAAUAGUAUCCUAGUCAGUGCUUCACAUUAAUUUGAAGUUGGCAAGCAGUAAAAAAAUCUGGAAAACAAAUUUCUUUAGAAUUAAUGUAAUUAGGUAAAUGACUUGAAGUGAUGCAGAGGUUGUAAAACUGCAAAAUUCUGGGAGAAAAUCUUCUGCAUGACAUUCUUGGCUAUCCAUUUUUCUUCUCAAUGAGUGCUAUUUCUGAUGAGGUGGCAGGUAGAAGACCCAUUAUUUUAGGAUUGCUUUGUAAUAAGGGCUGGUAAGCUAGCAGAAAAUAAAUUUGUAAUCACUGCUGAUAAUACUCUGGUUAAAUCCAUUUGUUGCCUUCCUCUGACCAUCAAAGCCCUAGUAUGGAGGGGAAUGAGAGGUCCUCUGUACAGAAAGGAGAAAGAUUAUGUUGAAAAAUUAGGGGCAAAGAGAGAUAACAGAGAAAGACAGGCUGCUGCUCAGAUGGAAGCAGGAAGGUGAGGUUCAAUCAUCACCUACAAGGAACAGAAAAGUACUGGAUUCCCAAGAUAUCUAUCUAACUUCAGAAUAAUAUUAUCUCUAAUUCUGAUGAAGAGCAGGAAAUGUUUUAAACAAAAUUCUUAAAUGCAAAAUUGCCACCAUUUCUUUUCUAGAGGCAGUUUAAGGAGACAGCAGGAUAGAUCAGGGAGGAGGAAAGAGCUCUCCUACAUCUCUCAUCAGUGACCCAGCUAAUUAAAUAGUGUCAGUGGCGAGCUGUGCAUUGUCCAUCCCAGUUCCUUUUGUCCAGAAAGAUGAUUUCAUGGGGAUACAAGGCUAGGAUUGCAGAAGUGCUUGUGUGGAAAAUUGGGAGUUGUUCUAAUGACACAAUAAUUCUUCUCUAAGCUCUGCAGUAUUGAACUGAUUGUCAUUUUCA